CCAUUAAUUAGAGAUAAGCAUCUCACACUUUCCUGCCUAGGCUGGCUUCCAAGCAUGAUCCUCAGAUCUCAGCCUCCUGAGUCGCUAGGAUUACAGGUGUGAGGCCCUGGUACCCACCUGUCUAAGCAUCAGUCUAAGCAUUUUGAA